rnacentral:misc_RNA from 1 species
GAGCAACUUUGAGCAUGCGCAAAGCAAAAUUGCGAAAAUGUCGUCGGCUCUUGUUCUUGUUACAGAUCGCAUUGAGCGAUCCAUUAAAUCCAUAUUGAUAAGAGACGAUGUUCCAGAGGUUACGAAAAGAGAGUUCAAGCAUGUCAUAGAAACAGAAGGGACGGAAAAGAAUGGCGAACCACGAUCGAUUUCAUUCUCAUGUGUUCAACAAUUGCAUCAGCUGCUGUCAAAAGGCGUCAAUUCAAAAACAUUGUAUCUCCAUGAACUUCUUGAGGGAGCAGAUGUAUACCAUCCACCUUUGAAACAACCAGAAAGGAAUCCUGAACUUGUUGCCAGACUGGAAAGGUUAAAGGCCGAACAAGAGGAUAGGGAGUAUAGACGCAUGACAAAGAAUGUGAAAAUCAGAACCUAUGGUGAAAGUCCCUUAGCCCAGGUUGGACAAGAAGUUCGAACAUUCCAAGUCCAGAUGAUGGGCGUGCUCAAUGUUGUUUUAACAAUCGGAGGAGGCUUUGUGUUUGGGUAUAUGGCUGCUGCAUAUCAAAGCCAACCUGUCAUAUGGCGAGUUACAGCGGGACUCAUAGUGGCAUUCAUAGUAGCUGUAGCAGAUCUUUACUUCUUCAUCAAACAUGAAGUAUGACAUCUAACUUCGACAUCAUGUUCAAGCACGCUCGAGAGACACUAUGAAAUAUUGCAAUUUAUGGACCAAUGAUAUGCUCUAUAAGGAAUUUAGUAUGUAUCGCAGUUAUGGACCGCAAGAGUGUUGGGUUAUUCUUGUUUCCUCUAGUGGGCCUGUAAACAUUGAGGAAAGUGUAAGAAGAAGGGAACAGGAUUCAAUGACAUAUGUGUGCAUACACCCCAUCAGACAUGUGCAGCAGCAUUUUAAUAGAUUUAUUCCAAGGGCUGCUUAUUCCACUUCGUUGAAUUAGAUAUGUCGGUGUCCUUUUCUUCUAUUUCAAAAAUGUUGAUGAGCGUGUCAUAUGAAGCAUUUCGUCUGUGAUUUGCACUGAAAAUUUGUUAUGAGCUAAUCAGACACAAGGUCCCGUAUUCUGAAGUCAGGUUUAACUUAGACCAUGGUCUAACUCUGUGCUAAAAUUAUGGGAAGCCAAAAGUGUCA